GUUUCGCCGCGGAGGCUUUGGCUUGU
rnacentral:snRNA from 1 species